rnacentral:rRNA from 1 species
UACGGGGGGAGCAAGCGUUGUCCGGAAUUACUGGGCGUAAAGAGCUCGUAGGUGGUUUGUCGCGUUGUCCGUGAAAACUCACAACUCAAUUGUGGGCGUGCGGGCGAUACGGGCAGACUGGAGUACUGCAGGGGAGACGUGGAAUUCCUGGUGUAGCGGUGGAAUGCGCAGAUAUCAGGAAGAACACCAAUGGCGAAAGCAGGUACCUGGACUAUUACUGACGCUCAGCUGCGAAAGCGUGGGGAGCAAACAGG